GUGGGGAAUAUUGCGCAAUGGGGGAAACCCUGACGCAGCGACGCCGUGUGAGGGAAGAAGGCUUUCGGGUCGUAAACCUCUGUCAGAAAGGAAGAACCUCCCAAGUCCGAAUAGGGCUUGGGACUGACGGUACUUUCAAAGGAAGCACCGGCUAACUCCGUGCCAGCAGCCGCGGUAAUACGGAGGGUGCAAGCGUUAAUCGGAAUCACUGGGCGUAAAGCGCGCGUAGGCCGCUUUGUAAGUCGGACGUGAAAGCCCUCGGCUCAACCGGGGAACUGCGGUCGAUACUGCGAGGCUUGAGUCCUGGAGAGGGUGGCGGAAUUCCGGGUGUAGGAGUGAAAUCCGUAGAUAUCCGGAGGAACACCGGUGGCGAAGGCGGCCACCUGGACAGGUACUGACGCUGAGGCGCGAAAGCGUGGGGAGCAAACAGGAUUAGAAACCCGAGUAGUCC
rnacentral:rRNA from 1 species